UACGACGGUGCCAGCAGUUAUUCGGAUUCACUGGGCUUAAAGGGCGCGUAGGCGGGCGGGCAAGUCCGGGGUGAAAAGCGUAUGGCUCAACCAUACAAGGGCCUUGGAUACUGCCAGCCUCGAGGGAGGUAGGGGCGGUGCGGAACUUCCGGUGGAGCGGUGAAAUGCGUAGAUAUCGGAAGGAACACCGGUGGCGCAAGCGGCACGCUGGCCUCUCUGACGCUGAGGCGCGAAAGCCA
rnacentral:rRNA from 1 species